GCUGACUCUCUUCGGACUCGGCCCGCCUGCACCCAGGUGAAAUAAACAGCCUUAUUGCUCACACAAAGCCUGUUUGGUGGUCUCUUCACAUGGAUGUGAGUGAAAUUUGGUGCCGUGACUCAGAUCAGCGGACCUCCCUUGGGAAAUCAAUACCCUGUCCUCCUGCUCUUUGCUCUGUGAGAAAGAUCCACCUACAACCUCUGGUCCUCAGACCAACCAGCCCAAGGAACAUCUCACCAAUUUUAAAUCCGGAAGUUCAAGCUGCUAGAUGGACAGGUCAAAUGAAGAAACAGAUGCCUGACCACUACUAAGCUGUAACUGAUACUGCAGUUGAGAUACAAGAUGUGAAUCUAAAAGAAAUCACCUCGGAUGUCUAGCCCUGUCCUCAAAUAAUUUCAGCUCGGCUGUCUCAUGACUACAACCAUACAAGAAACCCCAACCAACAUAUGGAAACAACCUAAAUGUCUGUCGACAGGUGAAUGAAUAAAGAAAAUGUGGUAUAUACAUACAGCAGAAUAUUGUUCAGUCUUAAAAAAGAAGGAAACCUUACAAUAUGCAGCAUCAUGAAUGAACAUGGAGGACAUUAUGCUAAAUGAAAUAAGCCAGUCACAGAAGGAACAGACACUGCCUGAUUCCAAUCGUAGGAGAUAACUAGUAUUGUCAAAUUUAUAAAAUUGACAAGAGAAUGGUAGUUGCUAGUGGGUGAGCAGAGGGGAAGAUGAGGAGUUAUUGUUGAAUGUGUAUAAAGUUUUAAUUAUGCAAGAUGAGUAAGUUCUAGCGAUCUAUUGUACAACCUUGUGCCUAUAGUUAACAAUGAUGUAUUGUGGAUGUAAAAAUUUGUUAAAGAGGAUACAUCUCAUAUUGUUUUCUUACCACAGUAAAAAAAAAAAGAAACAAAUAAACAAGAAUGUAUAUAGUACUGAAAACUGUAUGUCUGAUGAUUAAAAAUUAAGAAUAUCCUCAAUACCACAUAAUUUACACAAUAGAUACAAAAGGUGUUGGCAACAAAGCAUGUCUGUCAACUUGGCUUAAAUUUUAAUCAUAAUCUCUCAAAGUCUUGAGAGAAGGCUAUGUUUUGUUCGUGUCAUUGUUAUUGUUGUUGUUUGACUCUAAAGAAUAAAUGAGAUCUUGGUAAAUUUUUGUUAUAUGCAAUACGUAUCUAAGGAACUACAAAAAUCAACUUCUAUUACUCUUGCCUAAUUCUUUCUUAGUACAUGAUUAGAUCUGUGUAGUACUUCAUUGAUCGUCUGCUGUGUAGGCAGCAUAGGCUCAAUGUUUAUUGAAUGCAGAUUUACGAUUUGUGAACCAAGAGAUACAAUGUUCUUUAAUAGUAUUAGAGUUUAGAUUUCAUGUGUCCUCAGUGUCAACAAGGACAGUGACAUUUCUCCAAGACUUUUAUUAGUGAGGUAUAGCAUCCGUGAUGCUCAGUAAAUGGAAAAGCAGUUACAAUGUCAGGCUGAAGGAAAACAUUGAAACCCACUUAGGAAACUUCAUGUAUAAAGACACCUGACUUUAUUUUCUAUUUCAAACCUGGGCUUGCCAAGUGUGGAUUUACUGUGCAUAAAAGCAGCAGUUUAUUUGAAUUGUGAAGUACUCCUUUAAAAUGAAUAGUUCUAAUUGUAUUAUACAAUUUAGCUCUAAAAGGCUAUUAUAUUAGUGUGCUAGGGCUGCCAUAACAAAGUACCAAAGACUGGGUGGCCUUAACAACAGACAUUUAUUUUCUCACAAUUCUGAAUGCUAGAAAUCUGAGCUCAAGGUCUAAGUAGGGUUGGUUUCUUCCAUGGUCUCUCUCCUGGCUUAUAUAUAGCCUUCUUUUCUCUUUGUUUCCACCUGGUCAAUCCUCUGUAUGUUUUUGUCCUAAUUUCCUCUUCUUCUAAGUUCACUAGUCAUUAAAUUAAGGCCUAUUCAUAUGACCUUGUUUAACCUUAAUUACACCUUUAGAGACCUAUCUCUACAUAUAGUCACAUUCUGAGGUACUGAGGGUAGGAAGUUUGUUGUGGCACUAUUCAGCCAGUAAAAACUACCCACCCUCAACUGUUGCUCAAUCUUGUCUACCAUAGUCAUCUCUUAUAAGUCAGAUGACCCACAAUUUAGGAAGCUGAUCCUGUGGUAAAUCCUGUUCUCCUUAAAUUGGUGAAAGCAUAGAUGUCAAAAAUAGCCAUAUAGUAAAAAUUAAGUGAAGGCAUAAAAUACCUUUUCAAAGGCUUCCAAAAGGUAAGACCUUUCUAAAUAUUUCUAAAUUGAUCUACCCUAUUUUGCAGUUCCAACCAUGAGGAUUAAUAACUGCUGUGGAAUUUUUUAUAAGGGCCAGACUAGAAUUUUUAAAUGAUACCUCACAUAAUUAUUUUAUGAAAACACUGUAAGUUAUUAAUCAAAUUAGGUUAGCUGUUUUUCAGCAAAUAUUCUAUUCUUGGACAUUGUGAAUGAAGAAUGCUAACCUUUGAUUGGGGUUAUAGGGCUUUACAACAUCCGAAGCAUACUAGUGCAAAUUAAACAGUGUAUCAUCAGAAAUAUAUUUGGGAAAAGGGAAACUAUAAAGGCAACCAAAAUAGGCUGCGUAAACUUUGCAAACUUCUGUGGCUGGCUAGAGCUGAUGUACUCAGGAUCUCCCAAUAUCCUGUUAAUACCUCAGUGUCUGUCUUUUCCCCCUACAUUCAAAGAAUCUAUGCAACCCCCUGGGGGCAAACCUGUUCUAAAUCAUAUUAGCCUUUAUCCCAUUAUAAUUCCCUGUAUAUCCUAGUCUAAAGGAAAUUUAAUUGCCUUAUUCAGUCACAUAAAUUCAUUUUAAUCUGACACAUAAUGUACAAAACAUAUAUAUUGUAAGAUAAUGUUCAUGAAAGACUUAUUUAUCAAGGGAGAAAAUAUAAUGUAUACAUAUGGGGUAAUGACACAAGAUAUAAACAUGGUAACAGCAAUGAAAGUUAAAAAAUAUAUAGGAUCAGAAUUCUGAAAAAAAAAAGCUAUUACCACUAAUUCGGAUAUUUGGGAAGGAUUGAUGAUGGAAAUGGCAGUGGUAGCGAGUUUUGAAUUGUGAAAUAGGUGUAUUUUAAUUCCAGGCCAAAAAAAAAAAAAAAAAAAAAAAACAAGUAGCAUGAGGUAAACAUAAAGAGAAGAGUGAGACCUCCAGGAGGAAAAGUAGGAUUUGUUUGGCUCAAGUAAAUGGUAGAUGAAAGGCAACAGAAUUCAGACAUGGGAACAUAAUCUUAUGAAAUAACUCCAUCCUAUAUGUAAAGGAGAAAGUGAAAGUUUCAGAGAAGGACCGAAAUAUGCUUCAGAAGAAUUAAUGCUGUAGGAAUACGUUAAAUGGAUUUGAACAGGAUGUGCCAACAGCGGAGUACCAUGGCACAGGUAAGCUGCAUGGUAGGAGCCUCAGGAAUAAGGGGGAAGGCCCUGAAAGGAUACAAUUACAAAAAAAUUACAAACUAUGAAGUCAAUUGGUUAUGAUGAUGAGGCAGAGAUUUUGGUCCUGGCUGACUAACAAGAUAUUGCCUUUAAUAAAAGCAGCAAGAAAGGUUAAUUUUGGUACGAAAAACAUGAGUUCAGUUCUAAAUAUUGUAGUAGUCAAUAUUUUUAGAUGAUUGUCAAGACUCACCACCCCUGGUGUGCAAGUUGUGCAUAAUCUCUCAGACUGUGAAUGUGAUUAAUUUUAUUCUUAUGAUUAGAAUAUGCUGUGAUAUGGCACAAUUGACUUUAAGAAAGGGAGAUUGUGCAUUUGGGCCUCACCUAAUCAUAGAAACCUUUUACAUGUAGGGCAUUUUGUCUGGCUAGUAGCAAAAGAGGAAGUCAGAGGUUCAAAACAUGAGAAAGACUGAAUGGUUCAGUGCUGGCUUGAAGAUUAGGGUCCACAUGGCAAAGAAUUCAAGUGGCUUCUCAAAGCUGAAAGCAGCAAGGAAGACCUAGCAAAGAAAUGGGGACACUUAGCAAGGAAACGGGGACUUCAGUUCUACAGCCUCAAAGAGAUGACUUUUGCUAAUACUAAGAACAAGCUUGGAGUGGAUUUUUCUCUAGAGCCUUCUGAUGAGAACUCAGCUUGGCUCGUACCUUGGUUUUGGUCUUUUGAUAACCAGUAAAGAGCCCACUCAUGCUUAGCCAGACUUCUGGCCCAUUGACUGUGAAUUAAUAAAUUACUUACAUUUUAAGCUGCUAAAUUCAUGGUAACUUCAAUAGAAAAUAAAUGCAGAUAUAUUGCCCUUUAGUUGUAUGGAAAGCAUUGAAGAUAGAAUUUCUCAACCUUGGCACUAUUGACAUUUUUGUACUGGAUAAUUAUUUGUUAUGGCGGUCUGUUCUGUGCAUUAGAAGAUGUUUAGCAGCAUUCCUGACCUCUACCCCUAGAUGCCAGUAGUAUUCAAUAUUGUAACAACCAAAAAUGUCUCCAGACGUUGUCAAAUGCCCUCUUGAGAGCAAAAUUUCCUCGGUAGAGAAGCAUUUAUCUUAGGGUAAAAACUAGCGGUCAUUUAUAAAUAGGAGGUGUCUUAGUCUGUAGUCAGGUUGCUAUAACAAAAUAUCAUAAACAUAGAUAGCUUAUUCACAACAUAAAUUUAUUAUGUGCCUGGUGAGGACCCAUUUCUUAUACAUAGCGUCUUCUUGCUGUCUCCUUACAUGGUAGAAGAGGCAAGGCAGAUCUCUGAGGCUUCUUCUAUAAGGGCAGUGACCCCGAUCUCUAGAGCUCUGUCCUCAUGAUCUAAUCACCUCCCAAAGGCCCAGACUCUGAAUAACAUAUGAGUUUGGGGGUUAGGGGGUGGGGGUGGGAGGACUAGAACACUCAGACCAUAGCAGGGCACUAGAGAUCAAGGAGUUGUGGUAAAACAUUUAGAUUGGAAAAUCAGCUGGGCGAAGAAAGUUGAAGGUGGGAAGUUUUAAUAGAUAAGAUGCAAGAAUUUUAAGAAAAAAGUUUGAAAGACAUUUCUACUCAAGUAUCAUAAAAAGGAGAAAUGAUUCAGGCUGGAGAUAAUGCAGGCUAAGAGAAGAAACAAGAAAGAAAAGCCUUAAACAAUCUAAAGCAUAACUAUCAGAGAGCUGAGAAUAAAAAGUACGUUGAAAUUGGAACUAAGAUGUCAUUGACAGAUUUGUUUUGGCAGAGUGGCUUGGACAGAAGCUCAAUAGAAAAGGAAUGAAUAAAUUUUUUAAAAGGCAAUAGCUUUUAAGAGGAAAUGGGAAAAUUAGUGCUUUUAAGGUAGGAGCAUUGUUAGAGAUAGAGGAGAAAGGACAUAGGGAAAGAACUGAAAGAGGACAAAUAUUUAUUGAGUAUGUUCUCAUAGUAUCAAAACUCACCUAUAACAGUUACCUUCCCAAAAUCAAAGCAACCAUAAGCUCUGUCUCUGUUUCUACUGUUGUUUAUAGAAGCCUCUUGAUGUUCUGCCAACUGAACAUACUAGCUUUUUCCUGCCAGCCUGCCAUUGCAAAGCCUUUGAUGUUGGUUGGUUUCUUGCCACUCAACACAUAUGCCCCUAUGGACUUGACACCUUGGAUUCUUCCAUUGAAUCUCAACUUUGCUCUCACCUGACAAUUAGUUUUUCUAUUUACUUUUACUUCCAAUGCUGAAGCCAUGGUGUUGGAUCCCAGCAAUUUAUAUACUAAACCUGGUACCUGCUAUCCUAGCCAUAGCAAAACCCUCUGGGAAAAUAUUUUGUACACUGUAUAUAGAGGAAAAUAUUUUGUACACUGUAUAUCCAUGCUGGAUAACUACUUAAUUUGUUCUCAAAAUCUUCUUAUGACAUCUCUACACUAUUUUUAGAGAUCAUAAAUUAACUUGUCCAAACUCACAUAGAUAGCAAGUAAAAGCUGAAAUUUGAACUCAGAACUAUCUGACUCCACUGCCUAUGAUCAGUGCUCAAAUUUCAAAUGGAAUAUAUGUUUUUUCAACUUGACAGUCUUCCGUGAAAAAGAAUGGUGCCAGAGUCAAUCUAUGACCUGAGAUAUUAUGUAAUAUUUUCAUUAGUAUUUAAUUUGUGAACUGGAGCAAAACUUGGUUGAAAUUGGUGUUGACAUAAUACUGAGUUAGGUGGGUGGUACAUUCUUUUGAAGUAAAGGUCAGAGGUCAUUACAAAUUUAGCAAGCUAUAAAAUUAGUCAAAUAUGAUUAUACAUCUAUUUAAUUUUUAAUGUUAUCACUUCUUUAUAAAAUAAAGAAUUUUGCCAAAUAGUUCAUAUUGACAUUGUUUAAGAGCUAAGAGGAUCCAUAGAUUCUGUUCAAAUGACCCAAAUACAGUGUAUAUAUAACUUUCACAAAGUAGGAAAUAAUUUAUAUUUUAUAAGUAUACAAAUAAUUUAAAAUAUAAUUAUUUUUCUGGAUGCAUUCAUAAAAUAUUUCUAAAACAAAUUUAGAAAGAUUUUAAAUAUUUAUUUUUAUCAAAUUAUUUUAAAUGAGAAGAAGCUGCCAUAGAGAAUAGGUUGUCAUUAUUUCCCAGAACUUUUAAAUGCGGAAAGACUCAUUUUCAAACUAACUCAUCAGAUUACAUGAAAAGUGAAUUUUAUUAACUUCCUGAGGCAAGGCAGAGCCCAAACCCAAUUCUGAAUAGGAGGUCUCUGUAGAGAAAAUGAGAGAACAAAUUGUAUUGUUUAUCUCUUAGACUCUUAAGUCUUAGAGUGGGAUAGGUGGAGGAAGUCUUCGAAUUAAUUGAUUUCUUAAGGUGAGAAAUGAUGUAAGCAAGGUGAGUUCUGAGGAGAAAAAGGAUUGUUGCUAGGGACAUAACACAUUCUGCCACUGUAUUUCCAUAGCUGAUGAUGAUAUUAAUAGUUAUUCUGGUUUUUAGAGAGCACAGCUUGUUCAUUCCAUUAAAAAGUACGGAUGGCUAUGCUUCAGUUUGACACUCACUGUAAAGGAAGACAAAAUGUUGGUAAGUACUCUCAGUACAAAGAUAUUGUAAAGAAACAAGUAACAACAGUAAAUGAAAUUCAAAAAUGGAAUAUUAACAAUAAAGAGAAGUAAUAGCUCUUGAAUUACCUUCAAAUACUUCAGAGCUGUGCUGACAAAUAUGGUGGCCAGCAGCCAUGGUGAUUUUUUAAAUAUAAAGCAACUAAACUUAAAUAAAUAAAAGUUAACUUCCUUAGUCAAACUAGCCAAAUUUCAAAUGCUCAACAGCCACAUUUUACUGGUGGUUACUGUAUUGGAAAUAGCACAUAUAAAAUAUUCCAUUAUUGCAGUAUUGGAUAGUGCUCCAUUAGUACAACUUUAGUGGAUUAAAAAAAAAUAAUGGUAAAAUAUUUGAAAUUUAGGCAAUUUGCAAUCAAAAGAUGAAAAUAUAUGUUUAA
rnacentral:lncRNA from 1 species